GCAAGUCGAGCGGUAGAGAGGUGCUUGCACCUCUUGAGAGCGGCGGACGGGCGAGUAAAGCCUAGGAAUCUGCCUGGUAGUGGGGGAUAACGCUCGGAAACGGACGCUAAUACCGCAUACGUCCUACGGGAGAAAGCAGGGGACCUUCGGGCCUUGCGCUAUCAGAUGAGCCUAGGUCGGAUUAGCUAGUUGGUGAGGUAAUGGCUCACCAAGGCGACGAUCCGUAACUGGUCUGAGAGGAUGAUCAGUCACACUGGAACUGAGACACGGUCCAGACUCCUACGGGAGGCAGCAGUGGGGAAUAUUGGACAAUGGGCGAAAGCCUGAUCCAGCCAUGCCGCGUGUGUGAAGAAGGUCUUCGGAUUGUAAAGCACUUUAAGUUGGGAGGAAGGGCAUUAACCUAAUACGUUAGUGUUUUGACGUUACCGACAGAAUAAGCACCGGCUAACUCUGUGCCAGCAGCCGCGGUAAUACAGAGGGUGCAAGCGUUAAUCGGAAUUACUGGGCGUAAAGCGCGCGUAGGUGGUUCGUUAAGUUGGAUGUGAA
rnacentral:rRNA from 1 species